AACGAACGCUGGCGGCAGGCUUAACACAUGUAAGUCGAGCGCGUCCUUCUGGGUGAGCGGCGGACGGGUGCGUAACGCGUGGGAACUUGCUCUCUUCUACGGAAUAGCCUCGGGAAACUAAGAGUAAUGCCGUAUACGCCCGCAAGUGGAAAGAUUUAUCGGAGGAGGAUCGGCCCGCGUUGGAUUAGGUAGUUGGUGGGGUAACGGCCUACCAAGCCGACGAUCCAUAGCUGGUUUGAGAGGAUGAUCAGCCAGACUGGGACUGAGACACGGCCCAGACUACUACGGGAGGCAGCAGGGGGGAAUCGUGGACAAUGGGGGCAAACCUGAUCCAGCCAUGUCGCGUGAUAGAUGAAGGCCUUAGGGUUGUAAAGAUCUUUCAGCUGGGAAGAUAAUGACGGUACCAGCAGAAGAAGCCCCGGCUAACUCCGUG
rnacentral:rRNA from 1 species